CCGAGGCAGCAGAGGUGGCUGCUGGGAAGACAGGACACGUGGAGGGAGCUGGGGCUCCUGGAGCCGGGCACAGGCUGAGCGCCGGGCGCCGGGCCCAGGGGACAGGGUGGAAGCUCUGGAGGAGUAGCCGCCUGCCUAAAUAACGCUGCCUCUCCUUGGUGCGACUGGUUUUACUCUGUCUUCUAGAUAUGGAACUCCAGAAGUGCAGAUACUUGUGGGCACCGGGAUUCCGGCUGCGACUCGGCGCAUGUGCAUGCCGCCCACCCUCUGUAAGCUCCCCACUCCGGACCUGGCCUGGACCAGGAAGUCAGACCAAGCUUCUCCAGUUUCCACGUGCCCACCAUCCCACCCCGCCGUGGACAGUUCUCCUGGAAGCAGAUGCGAAUAUACUUUGUUGUAGUCUUUCCCGGCAAUGGUGCUGGAGAGCAGAAUGGCCCCAGAAGCUCAUUCCUCCCAUACCUCAUGUGGCUGGAGGAUGUCGUUCCCGUCAGAAGGCCUUCCUCUGACUCUCGCACGUGAUGACAGUUUCACUGGAGUCAGGUGGACGUGGACUAAUCAGCGGCUGAUAUCGAGAAGCCGUUGGAUCGAGGCAACCAAAGUGGUUUUGAGCAACACCAGUUCCUUCUCCAUAUUUUAUGGUGAAAAAAAAAUGAGUAAAAUUAAAGGAAGGAAAGAAGAAGAAAGGAAGAAAUGGAAAGAAUAACACACAUUAGUAAAACUUGAGCUAGACUGACAGAAGUUUGGAGAAAUAUUCUGGACCAGUUCUGGAGCAUCCUCUCUCAAAAAUAGCCCUGCCUGGACCUGUCAAAAGGACAAAGAAGAUGGCUGGAAGGAGCUCCCACUGGCCAAAUCUGGGACAAUCUGAACUUCAAAAACAAAAACAAAAACAAAAAAGAUAGUAGUGGUUUGUAAUCCACUGAAUAAAAUAAGAAAAUAUAGGUUCAUACUGAUAUAAACAAACAAAUAAAUGGAGGAAUAGAAAAAGCCCUUCCUUACAGUAAAAUUGCAACCAAUAAGUGUAGAAGAAAAGAUAGGAUUAGAAAAUCACCAUUUGGCAGCCUUCAGGCAAGAACUGUCAAUGGAUGUGUAAACCAGUGGGUAAAAGUUUGAUGAGAAGCAGUAUUUUUAUACAAUCUCAACAUACCUCCUCAUAAAAUAUUUAUUGAUUUCAAAGAGAAAAAUAAUAACUUUGCAGUGGAGAGGCUUGACAGACCCCACCUGAGCCAAAUGAUCAAAGUUAGCACCACAAGGGACAAAUGGGACAAAUCAGUAUCAUGUCUCUCCGGAUGUGAUAAUUCUAAGAAGGACACAAUAUCACCUUUGCGGUGUUCCUGCCAAAAACGCACACCCUGACUCUAAUUGUGAAGAAACAUCAGAAGGUCCAAAAACAAGGGACAGGCUAUUCAAUAAGUGGCUUAUAUUCUUCCAGAAAGUCAAUGUCAUGAAAGACAAAAACUGAGGAACUACCCUAAUUGAAAAAAACCUAAAGAGAUCUGAUAAUGGUGAUCUUGGAUCGGAUUCUGGAUCAAAUUUUUUUUUGUCUAUUGCUAUAAAGAACAUUGUUAGGAAAACUGAUGAAAUUUGAAAAAGAUGUGUAGUUUAGAUACUAUUAUUGAAUCAAAAUGAUUUCCUGAUUUUGAUACUGUAUUGGGGUCAUAAGAGGGAAUGACCAUUUUUUAAGUAUUUAGGGAUAAAAGGGCAUCGUAUCUGUAACUUAACUUUCAACCAGUUUAGGA